rnacentral:rRNA from 1 species
UACCAGCACCCCGAGUGGUCGGGACGAUUAUUGGGCCUAAAGCAUCCGUAGCCGGUCCUACAAGUCUUCCGUUAAAUCCAGCUGCUCAACAGAUGGGCUGCGGAAGAUACUAUAGGGCUAGGAGGCGGGAGAGGCAAGCGGUACUCAGUGGGUAGGGGUAAAAUCCUCUGAUCCAUUGAAGACCACCAGUGGCGAAGGCGGCUUGCCAGAACGCGCUCGACGGUGAGGGAUGAAAGCGUGGGGAGCAAACAGG